rnacentral:lncRNA from 1 species
UGGCUCCAUCGUCCACAGUGGUGGUUCCUCUUGAACUAAUCGUUUUUGGUCAAUUUAGGCUGAUUUUGGCCAGUUUUGCAUGUAAACAUGUGAAAAACUAAGUUAGGGGCCAUCUGUUAGCUGGAAAAGGCAAAAAUUAAAACCCUACCGGUGGAAGGGUCUCCGGGUGCGGUAGCUCCACCAUUCCUCUUUUGCGACUGGGGUUCUCCUUCGACUAACCUGCACCAAAAAAGGAUGAGAAACACAAUAAUCAGAAAACUGAGGGAAACAAGACACGGGAAGGGGCUCAUCGGAUGAGGUUUUUAAAUUUAAGCCGCGACGAUUCUGUCGAGCUUCACUCGUAUUUUUUAGUUCAUUCGUCGGUCUUUCGGCUCCGAUAUGGAUGUGGGUAGGUUUAGAAUCAAAUUCUGAGUGAGAAAGGAAAAAAAAUACAUGUUCGUUAUCAGUAAUGGCUUUGGGACCAUGGUGGCGGCAGUCAAUUUCUUUUCGGCUACCCUUCUUCUUCUUUUCCAGCGAUGACUGGUGCGGUUAGGGUUAGGGUUUCCUGGACCGCAAGGUUUAAAUAUCCUUCCCGAGUCGAUUUGGGCCGUUCGUUUUGGGACACGUGAACCUUUCCCACUUGUUGGAUCCCUCUUAUUUAGAGAAUGAAUGUGGGCUACUUUAUCGAAUUGAAUCUAACUAUUUGAUUGUGCCUGAAGGAAAAACGCAUCUAGAUCGUUCGUGGGCGCGGGAUGUGAUUUGAUCUGUUGGAUUCGCAGGCACGCGGAUCGCCUACGUGGCCUUUCGUGUGGAAUCGGUGCCAGUGUGUCCGUCACGCGGCGUGUUUUGAGUUGUCAUUGCUGCUGAUGUGGUCGUCUCAUGUGACCAUAUUUUUUAU